rnacentral:tmRNA from 1 species
GGGGCCGACUGGUUUUGACAGCAUAGGGCAGGGUAAGUAAGCAUGUCGUGCGUUGUGUAAUUAGCACGUAAAUCAGAAUACUCAAAAUCUAAAUGGCGAAUCUAACUUUGCCAUGGCUGCCUAAUUAUUAAUUAGACAACCAUUUUGGCCGCAGAAAGCAGCUGCCUGUUCCUGUUUCUGCCGCCUAAAUCAAACCAAUAACAGGAUAUGAUCUGCAUUGUUGCGCUGCAGGUAUGAAAACCAAAGCGACUAGGUAAGUAGUAAGUUUGUCCGGUUCUGGCUGCUUACCGAAAUUCAAUUCCGGAAUACACAUGUAGAAAGCUUAUUGGGCAUAUGUUUGGACGCGGGUUCGAAUCCCGCCGGUUCCACCA